rnacentral:lncRNA from 1 species
AGUAAUGGGUCCCAAUUGUCAGAUUUUUCAUGGCAGUGGUUCCACAUCGCUUUUUCAUAGCUUAUUAAUAAGCAGUAUAUAUCAAACAGAAAGAAGAGAGAAGCAUAUGAAAAUCUUCAAAUAACAACCAAAAUAGGUUUAUUACAAUACAUUCUGUACGGAACAGAACAUAUGGAACUCCAUACACUCGUUUACAUCACAACAACCAGUUUAACCGUCAAAUAUUGCAUGCCCAGGAACUUCAAACUUCACCUAGAUAACCAUACAAUAUUCCACACAAUCACAAAUAUUGCGAUCGACAAAUAAAACGCUCUGCCAGUGUAAAGCUAGCUACUCUUGGAUACCACGGAACAUGCUCUUCAACAUAGGAAGAAGUCAUCAACGGUGUUCUACCAACAACACAAGCUCCAUUCACCUACAAGAAAAGAAUGGAAUAUCAAGUACUUGGAUCGUUCAAGCAGAUUACAACCAACAUAUAUAUGUACAUCAGGAAAUAUGAUGGAGCAAAUCUGACAACAAAUACAUUAAGUAAACAGCCCAACCGAUGAGUGAUGACGACAAGCAAAGAGUAUAAACCCAGGUUUGGACAUAAAUAGUGUCAACUCAAGCAGAACAUAAUAAGGCAGUAAACACGUGGGCAUUUUCUCUUUGACCCUCUUCAGAUCAAAUCAUCUACAUAGCUUCAAUUUUCUUUGUGAUUUACAGCAAAGAGCAAAACUAAGGAGAGCAAGUAGAGCAAAGCAUAGUUGAUGGUGGAGUGGUGAAUUACUUUGAUGGCGUACUUGAUGGUGAUGCCGCAAACAACAUUUAGAGCUAGAAUGAGAACUAAUAUACUAUAAGCAUACAAAAGAAAAUAAUUUCAGCAAAAUCAAAACCGGUGAUGAAAACUAAAUAAUAGUGCAGCAGAUUGGCUCUAGCAUGGAGGAACAUCACCAAAUUAAACAAGAUGGGUUUUCAAGUUUUUAGACAAGUAUUCAUGAUUACAGUUUGUUAUCGUCGUCCAAAUUCACGAACAUGUAUAAAAUUAAUUAAUACAUCUGAAUGUGCUAGCACUGAAGCAAACAUGAGGCCAUGAAGUAUCAGGCCAACCAUGAUUUACAUAUUUACCAAUGAACAAACAUGAUACAUGCAUCAAGCAUCAAGCAUUAGGCGAUGAAGCAUCUGUCCCAUUUGUUCAACAAGACGAGUACAUACCAGACUCCAGGUUGAUGCGAUGGAUGGGACUGUACUUGAACAUCUGGUCCAGGGACAAGCUUGCUAAUCCAAAUCGAACAAACAAAUUCAUUAGGAGGAGAUAGGAGAGACAAGGAAGAAAUGAAGUAAACAUACAUACAUGUCUAUAUAUAAGCAGCAGAAGCAAGUAAUAUAAAUACAUCCGCUUUCUUCCUCUACAACACUAACUACAGCAACAUCAAACAUAGUACACAAGGAGCAGCAGCAGCAAGCCGAUAAAGAAAGCUCAAGAUUUGUGUCUUUUGCAAGUUUUAGCACACUAGUACAUGCGUUAAAAUGGAAGCACCGCUACUGGGUUGCAACAGCCAACAAAAUAAAAAAAUCUAUACACACGCACAAAAUUAAGCAAUGGUUCCGUCAGUGUUGUAG